rnacentral:lncRNA from 1 species
CAGCUCUCCUCCUCCACCUCCUUACUACUAUAAAUCUCCCCCACCACCUUCACCAUCUCCUCCACCACCUUAUUAUUAUGAGUCUCCACCACCACCAGUAAAGUCUCCAUCUCCAAAGCCUUACUAUUAUAAAUCUCCUCCACCACCAUCUCCUGUACCCCAUCCACCUUACUACUACAACUCUCCUCCUCCACCAUCUCCUUCACCUCCUCCACCUUACUAUUAUAAUUCUCCACCACCUCCUUCACCGUCUCCUCCACCACCGUACUACUAUAAAUCUCCUCCUCCUCCAUCUCCUAAACCGCACCCCCCUUACUACUAUAACUCUCCACCACCUCCAGUAAAAUCUCCACCUCAUCCAACACCUUACUACUACAAAUCUCCACCACCACCCACUCCAUACUAUUAUAAUUCUCCUCCUCCACCUGUCGUGUAUCCUCCACAUCCCCACCAUCACCCAUUGAUUGUGAAGGUUGUGGGCAAAGUCUACAGCUAUAAGUGCUAUGACUGGGAGUAUCCUGAAAAGUCACACAACAAGAAGCAUCUCAAAGGUACACGACAUUCUCUACGUCAUUUUUUAGUUCGAAAGUCUUAUUAUUGUUACAAUUGAAUUGUCAAUUCUUAUGCUUUUGAGCAUUGCUCGUUAUUAUCUUCAUUUGGCAUUCACUUUUUUUCGUUAGAGAAUGCACGUCUUUGUCUAGUAGAACUUGUGCUUCAUUUUACACAAGCAUUUGCUAUUAGUACUCACAGUAUUUUGUCGCUAAACUUUUCGUGAUGCUUGCAGUUCCAAUCAUAUUAGAUAACUCUAGAGCAUGUAGAAAUUAAAUGUUAGAAUGCAUUAACUUAAUUUAUCUUGAACCGACCACCUAAUCGGAAAACCAAAAUGAAUGCAUUAAUAUUUGAUGCUUAAAUUAGUAAAGUGUCAAUUAGACUUUUUAAUAAUGUAUAGAAUUGGAGAACCUUUUGUUACAGUUGAUAGGUAAGAUACAAUCAAUGUCUCAAUGUACAUUCACCAUCACAUUACUAAAAAAGAACCUUUUCUUAUUCAAAACUGGUUGUAGCAUGUAAUUAACACCAACACUCAACAUGAAAAUGAUAGUUUUCUUUUUCUUCAUAAAUAAACAUGAAAAGGAUAGUUUAACUCGAGAUUCUUUUUAUAAUUUGCUCCAAUAUAAUAUCUUUGGUGGAUUUAUGAUAUCUUGUCGUAUUAUUGUUUGCUAAUUGUAAUAUUUCAAUUAUGGAUCAGGUGCUGUUGUGGAGGUCAAAUGCAAAGCAGGCAGACACAUCAUCAAGGCUUACGGGGAAACUAAGAGCAAUGGAAAGUAUAGCAUUACAGUUAAGGACUUUGACUAUGCUAAAUAUGGCUCCAGGGUAUGCAAGGCUAGGUUACAUGCUCCACCUAAGAACUCACCCUUCAACAUACCCACUAAGCUAAACGAAGGAACCGACUUGAAGGUGAAAUCAAAGGACAAAUAUGAAGUUGUGCUUGAAGCUAAGCCAUUUGCCUAUGCUUCAAAGAAACAUUUUGAAGAAUGUGAAAAAUCCAAGCCUUCACCAACUCCCUACUAUUAUAAAUCACCACCACCUCCAUCACCGGUUUACAUAUACAAGUCUCCACCUCCACCAUCACCUACAUAUGUAUACAAGUCACCACCUCCACCAGUUCACCACUAUUCUCCUCCGUACUAUUACCAAUCCCCACCACCACCUUCACCAAAACCCAAUCCUCCAUAUUACUACCAAUCCCCACCUCCACCUUCACCAAAACCCAAGCCUCCGUACUACUACCAAUCUCCACCUCCACCAACACCAGUAGUAAAGCCACCUUACUACUACCAAUCUCCACCUCCACCAUCACCGGUACCCAAACCUCCAUACUACUACCAAUCACCACCUCCACCAUCACCAAAACCCAAGCCUCCAUACUACUACCAAUCCCCACCUCCACCAACACCAGUAGUAAAGCCACCUUACUACUACCAAUCUCCACCUCCACCAUCACCGGUACCCAAACCUCCAUACUACUACCAAUCACCACCUCCACCAUCACCAAAACCCAAGCCUCCAUACUACUACCAAUCCCCACCUCCUCCAUCACCAGUACCUAAGCCUCCAUACUACUACCAAUCUCCACCACCCCCAUCACCAGUACCCAAGCCUCCAUACUAUUACCAAUCUCCACCUCCACCUUCACCGAAACCCAAGCCUCCGUACUAUUACCAAUCCCCACCACCACCUUCACCAAAACCAAAGCCUCCGUACUAUUACCAAUCCCCACCUCCACCAUCGCCAGUACCCAAGCCUCCGUACUACUACCAAUCUCCGCCUCCACCAUCACCGGUACCUAAACCUCCAUACUACUACCAAUCUCCACCUCCACCAUCACCAGUAACAAAGCCUCCGUACUAUUACCAAUCUCCGCCUCCACCAUCACCGGUACCUAAACCUCCAUACUACUAUCAAUCUCCACCUCCACCUUCACCAAAACCCAAGCCUCCGUACUAUUACCAAUCCCCACCUCCACCUUCACCUAAACCCAAGCCUCCUUACUACUACCAAUCCCCACCUCCUCCGUCACCGGUGCCUAAACCUCCAUACUAUUACCAAUCUCCACCUCCACCAUCACCAUCACCCCCACCACCUUAUUAUUACCAUUCUCCUCCUCCACCAUCACCAUCUCCCCCUCCUCCUUACUACUAUAAGAGUCCUCCCCCACCAUCUCCAUCACCUCCUCCUCCAUACUAUUAUAAAUCUCCACCACCACCUAAAGAAUUGCCACACCCUCCUUACUAUUAUAAGUCACCACCCCCACCAUCACCAUCACCUCCUCAUCCAUACUAUUACAAAUCUCCUCCACCACCGUCACCAUCUCCUCCCCCACCUUAUUAUUACAAAUCUCCUCCUCCACCUAAAGAAUUACCACACCCUCCAUACUACUAUAAGUCACCACCUCCACCAUCGCCAUCCCCUCCCCCUCCCUACUACUAUAAAUCUCCACCACCACCAUCACCAUCACCACCUCCCCCCUACUAUUAUCAAUCGCCGCCUCCACCUAAAAAGCUACCACAUCCACACCCUCCUUACUACUACCAAUCUCCACCACCACCAUCACCAUCUCCACCACCUCCCUACAAUUACAAGUCACCUCCACCGCCAUCCCCAUCCCCUCCACCCACUUACUAUUACCAAUCUCCCCCACCUCCUUAUCACUAUCAAAGUCCUCCUCCACCAUCUCCCACUCCUCAUCCUCCCUAUUACUACCAAUCCCCUCCACCCCCAACGUCAUCUCCACCACCACCUUACCACUACGUGAGCCCUCCUCCACCUUCACCAUCUCCUCCCCCACCAUACCACUACACAUCACCACCUCCUCCAUCGCCAGCUCCUGCUCCCACAUACGUCUACAAAUCCCCUCCACCCCCAACAUCAUCUCCACCACCUUCAUAUCACUACGUGAGCCCCCCUCCACCUUCACCGUCUCCACCACCACCUUACCAUUACGUGAGCCCACCUCCACCUUCACCAUCUCCUCCACCACCAUACCACUAUACAUCACCACCUCCUCCCUCGCCAGCACCUGCUCCCAAAUACAUCUACAAAUCACCUCCCCCACCACCAGUUUACAUCUACGCUUCCCCACCACCACCGAUAUACAAGUAAGCUCAGAAUGUAGACGCAACAAUUGUAAUAAAUCACGU